rnacentral:tRNA from 1 species
GUGGUGGCUCAGCGGUACAGCUCUCGCCUCACAUGGGUGAGACCCUGGGUUCGAUCCUCAGCACCACA